GCCUCAGCCUCUGGUGCCAUCCUGGGUUCCUUGCCUCUGAAACUCACCUGCUUCCUCCUGCUGUGCUGAAUGCGGGCUGUGUCCCCUUAGGCCUUUGUAGUGCUUGCUCUAGGAAGCAACCUCUCAUGCCAAAUACCCCCUAACAGACAAGCUGCUCCUUACCAACCCGGCAGACAGAAACCUCCCACACAUCACCUUGCUUUUGGCCUCUUGUUCUGGUCAUGAAGGGUGACCAUUGCCCUCCCCAGGCCCCGAGCUCACAGCCCUCGGAGAAUGAGUGGGUGCUGUGGCUAGGGUUACCUUGCUGUGAUGAAACACUGUGACCAAAGGCAACUUGGAGGGCGAGGGGUUAUUUAAUUUGUGGUUCCAUCGAACAGUUCAUCAUCAAAAGCAGUCAGGGCAGGAUCCUGGAGGCAGGAGCUGAAGCAGAGACCAUGGAGGGGUGCUGCUUCCUGGCUUGGUCCUCAUGGCUUGCUCAGCCUGCUUUCUUGCAGGAUUCAGAACCACCAGCCGGGAACUGACACCACACACAGUGGGCUGGGCCCUCCACCAUCAAUCACUAACUAAGAAAGUGCCUUACAGUAGGAUCAUAUGCAGGCACUUCCUCAAUUGAGGUCCCCUCGUUUUAGUUAACUCCAGCUGAUUGACGUAAAACCAGCCAGCCCAGUUGGUCAAUUACAGAUUAAUCGUCUUCUGAUGUCAAAAAUUUCAAGUCCAAAAGUCUUAAAGGUUUUGAGUACCAACAUGAGGCUGUGAUGGGAAAAUUCCACACCUUACAUCAUGUGAUAGGCUACACUGUGCAGUUGCACUAAAAGGCUGUGAAAAAGGCGUAGGCGUAAAACAGUUAAAUUAUGACUUGGGUCAUGCCCCCCCCCCCAAUAUCUCAUCCUAUGAUCUAAUUUACUUUCUAUUGCUGUGAUAAACACCAUGACCAAAACCCAGUUAGGAGAGGAAAGGAUUCAUUCCCUUUUACGGGGUUACGGUCUAUUGCUGAGGGAACUCAAGACAGGGACCUGAAGGAGGAAACCACAAAGGAAUGCUGCUUACUGGCUUGCUGGGCUACCUUUCUUAUUCUUCCACAGUCCAGGCCCACCUGCCUAGGGAUGGUGCCGCCCACAGUGGGCUGGAUCCUUUGACAUCAAUUAGCAACUGAGAAAAUGCCACAUCAAUAUAUCCAUAGAUCCCUCUGAGGGAGGCAGUUCCUCAGUUGAGGUUUCCCAUUCCCAGAUGCGUCAAGUUGGCAACAGAACCUGAUUAUAUUAUACAUGUGCAGACAUUCCAACUCUGACAGGCUCUGAAACACGUGGCACUUCUUCUGCCCCGAAGCAUUUUUAGACCAAGGCUGCUGGGCCUGUGAUUGAGGUCAUGAGUUGUCCUUUUCAAUUUGCUGCAGCCCCGUUUGGGGUUUGAGCUCUUCGGUUUGCCUGCGUGUGACACAUUUGAAUGAGAACAGUUUAUAAACAGCUGCUGAGAGCUGGGAGAUGUUUUCCCCCUUAGUUCAUGCUUCGCUGGGAUUUUUCUUUUUCUAUAAUAGGAUUCUUUGAGAGCUCUGGCACAAGGUUUGUUUUGAAACCCAGCAGAAGCCAGAUCUGCUCCUGGAGAUGCUGGGGAAGAUUAGUGAUGUCUUUUCUCUGUGCUCCAGAUUAUUUCCUUGUGCUAGCAGGCAGCGUUUCUGACUCCCAUUUGGAAGCUGCAUCGCUUUGAUUAUGGUUCCUACUGUUUCUCAGUUGGUCCAGCUGCCAAACGCAAGCCUGACCUCUGCCUUUCCUCCCACCAUGACUGGCUGCCAUGAUCCAGAACCUUCUUUAGACAUAGAGAACAUCAAGAAAGACCCUAUUUUUAGACCUGACAUUGUAAGUCUGUGAGGCCAUCAGAACUGGCUGGCUCCCUUUCUCUAUGAUAGCAUGUGUUUUGUCCAAGUUGGGACAUGCUGAACUUAGAAAUUCAGAUGUUUCGUUUCUUUGUUUGGAUCUGGAGACAUUUGUAGAAACUAAACACAGCAUUUGGGUUGGGACGGAUCACAGAGUGGGCUUUCAACCAUCUUGUUCCCUCCCUGGCCCGAAGAGAGAAGGGCUCAGUGCCAUGAAGAUUUAGAGGGCUGAGCUUCAUGGGGGUCAAUAGGGCUUGAGGGGCUGUCCCCAGUGCUGUAUUCAACAAGGAGCAGAUGAGCCCUAGCUAGAUGGAGAGAGAGGCAAAGGGGGCUCCAGGGGAUGUGUGUGGCUGAAUUUUGAACUUAACUCAUUGAAUAGAAAGCUCAGCUGCGUGAUCUGCCUCCAGCACUAAGUGAGUCAUACCAUGCAAGAUGGCAGAUUGACAUGAUGGGAUUCUCCUCUGAACUUUCUUUCUGUCAAAUGGACGACUGAUUUAUUCAAAAGACAUUCAAAGUCUGGGGAAAAGCUAGGCAAUAAACCAUGUUCUCUCCUUCGGACCACAGCGUAGGCUGGCUCUGACGUUGUGGGGAAGAUGUUGAUACAGACAGUGUGGUCAUAAAUCUCAGCUGUCGUUCGAGGGCUCGUAUUUCCCCCCUGUUAGUUUUUUACUGUAUAAAAUGGGAGCAAAAAUUCCAUCCUCUUUCCAUGAAUAGUGAUUUUGAGAAUUGUCUUCAGCAGUUGUUUAUUGGACAUAUUCUGUCCGCCCCCUAGCUUUUGCAGUGCUGUAAAUACAAAUCUGGAAAAACUUUGUGUUAAUUCGAUCUUUAUCACUAUGGUAAACACCAUGACCCAAAGCAACUUAGGGAGGAAAGGCUCAUUUGUCGUGGGGCUUACAGUCCAUCGUUGAGGGAAGCCAAGGCACAAAUAGAGCUAGGAGCCAUGGAGGGAUGCUGCUUGCUGGCUUGCUCCCUGUGGCUUGCUUAGUUUUCUUUCUGAUAGAACCCAGGACCACCUGCCCAAGGGGGAGGGGGGCAUGCACAGUGGGCGGGGCCCUCUCACAGCAAUCAUCAAUCGAGAAAACACCCUACGGAUUUGCUUAGAAGCCAAUCCGACGAAGGCAGUCCCUCCAUUGAGGUUCUCUCUUCCCAGGUGAUGCCCGCUGGUAAUGAGUUGACAAAAACUAACAGGUACGGAUCUGACCCAUACUUUCCAACAGCUUUAGCCCGGCAGAGAGAUCAAGAUCAAGUCUGUUGUUUAUAGGAUGUUUCAGUCGGAGUGGUUCCGGAGUGAGUGACAGAGAAAAGGUGCCAUGGGAUUUCAGAGAUGGUGCGAUGAGAAAACAAACCAGAAAGGAGGAGUUAGAGGUCACGGGUGGGGUGGGAAGCAACGUGAAACCAAGGUACUUAAAACUGAGCGAUUAUGGGGUUGGAGAUUUAGCUCAGUGGUAGAGCGCUUGCCUAGCAAGCGCAAGGCCCUGGGUUCGGUCCCCAGCUCUGAAAAAAAGAAAAAAAAACUGAGCGAUUAUUAAACAUAUUCACUAAUUAAAUGAGAAACAAAAGGGAGGGGAAACCCUCAUCUUUGACACCUUAUAUUCUAUAUCAAAAGGUGAUGUUAGUCUGAAAGAGGAUCGCAGAUGAUAAAGCAAAGAAAUGGCUUUAAAAAACAAAAGCUGCCCUAAACACGGAGCCUGGCAGAACAUUUCCUUGGGUUUUUCUAAAUGUGGCAAGCACAGUUUUCACAGAGCGAAGGACACUGUGCACUUUCAAUAGCUUAUAAAUAUUUAGUGCCGAGAUUACUCACAAACCAGGGAUUGCUGGGGAGGCAUUUUCCCCUGGCAGUCGGUCUUUUUCUUUCUUUUUUUUUUUUUUUUUUUCCUUUCCUCUCCAUCCUGAGACAUUAAGACUUAGAAAGGACCAACUGUCAUUUAGCUGUGGUAUUUGGGAGAACUGUUACCCCGUGUUUCUGUCACUGGGCCAGGACUUGAGUCUCAGGGGAAUAAUUCUCUAGUUUUCUUUUACAGCUAGAGUUACGAAAUAGCCAACUGGGCCUCCACAUGGCGGGUUCCCCUGGGGAGAACCUGGAGAGCCAUCUUCCCCCUUGGAAUCAUCUCUCAGUAAACCUACCCUGUCUUCUGCACAGCGUCAUGGGUUAUUGUAUUAGGGGGUGGAAUGUGGUCGCAAUGAGAGGAUGUCAGCUGAUGAUGGGGGCGAUAUCGGGCUCCUGGAAGCUAGCUGGGUGAGACUUUACUGUGAAGCGCUGUUCUUUGCUGGCUUGGUGGAACAGAGCACUGCCUCUCAGAAGGAGCCGGGUGUGGUGGUCCGUGGGAGAGGAGCAGAGCUGUGUCUCCCUAAGGUCAGAACAGCGAAAGCCUGUUUGAUUUUUAUGCUUCUGCUGCCGUGGUGGGGGAAAUGGUGCUGAGAGUGGUUUUGAAGAGCGUGGGCCCUGAGCUUUGCUUGGUGCAAAUUGAAGAACCAGGUUAGGAUUGGGUUGUCCGGUAACGCUGAAGACCCCGGAUGGAGUGAGUCCGGAAGUGACAAGGAUUUGGCUGUUUUCUCAGUGCCCUUAUUGGAGGAUUGGGACUGGAUUGUGAGGAACUCCUAGCUUUCCAAAUGUCUUUGAGUGACUGUGAUUGACAGACAGCUGACACCUCCUUUCCGGGACGGAGCUGCGGUUUUCCUUUUCAGUAAUAGGUUGCUGUCAAGAUCGUCCAAAGCUGAGUGUGUUUGAAGCAAAUCAAAAGACCUUCGCUCCACUUCUGCUUCUUGACUGGAGUCAGGCCUGCCUUUAUUCACCCGACCCUCGCACUGAGGUUCGUCCAGAAGCCAUGCUUCCCAGUCUCAUCUUUGGUCCCUUGUUCACUCUUUGCUACUAUUCCAGGCUUACUGCUCCCUGAGGCCCGGAGUGCUGGUCCCCAGAUCUGCGGUGGCCACCCGUCCAGCAGUGCCCACAUCUCACCUGCCCCAUGUGACCUUCUGUGCUGACCCACACCAGUGAUAGCCUGCCCUCCUCCCCUCCAAUCAGCCCCACCAGACCACCAGACACACACCCAGGAAGCUUGCGCAGCGCCUUGUAGUACCAUGAGCUCAAGCCAGCGUGGAGGAAGCUUCCGGCCUGAUUUCUCUGGUGUCUUACAAUUAAAACAUGCGCGGCUGUCUUCUGCUCUAGAGCCUUAUUAUCCAAUUGUGGCAAAUGACCAACAGCAGUGGUAGCACCCUGUGAUGGUUUGGGGACUCAGGUUCCCUUAGCCAGUAACUUGUAGGAAGGAAGCUCUUCCUUAGAGCUGGGGUUUGUGUGUGCUAACUGCAUGGAUUCUAGGAGCAUCAUUUUCCACCUCGACGCGCGCUCUGGGUGUUUAAGUUCCUUGACUUGGGGUUUUGGUGUAUAGAGACCCAGGCUGCCUUCAACACUCCUUUUAUACUUUUGAUGGCAUCAUACUGUGUACAGUGCACAGUGAUCACAUCCACUCCUCAGUCCCCUCACCCACCUCCAAGUCCUGCAGACCUUCAUCCCAGUUCAUCCCUCUCCCCCACCCUCUCCCUCUCCACUUCUUCCUUAGCCCCAAGCUCAAAAUCACAGCCUAUGGCUCUGUGAUCACAAUGAUCAUAUUGGGUGUCAAUAAAGUGACCUUUCCUCCCCCACCCUGCUAUUUGAAUAGAAUUUGCAUAUAAUUUGCAUAGAACGUCUUUUCCUGUUUUUUUUCACUUUCAGCCUGUGUUUGGAUCUGAAGUAACUAUCGCUUUUGUAGAGGGCAUGAGUGUGGCCCCUGAUGUUGAUUCUUCCUUUGCUGUUCUCUAUGUCUCUGUUGUGACUGGAGAAUUUGAUUCAUUUACAUUUAUGGUAAUUACCCACAAGGAGGGUCAUCUCCCAGUGUGCUGUUUGCUUUCUGUAUGUCCUAUAUUUCCUACAUUAUUGUAAUUUCCUUUAUAUAAAUUAUUUUUGUAGUGAAAUGUCUUAACUCCUAUUCUCUCUCUCUCCAUAUAUAUAUAUAUAUAUAUACAUAUACAUAUACAUAUAUAUAAUAGCUAUUUCAUUAUUUCAUUGUGGUUACCAUGGGGAUUACAUUAAUACUCUAAAGAUUUAGUUAGAGGGGCUGGAGAGAUGGCACUGGCUGCUCUUCCAGAGGACCCAGGUUCAUUUCCCAGGACAUAACAGCUUAUAACUGCCUAUAACUCCAGUUUCAGAGGGUCCAACACCUCCAUAUAUGCAGGCAAAUCACCAAUGCACAUGAAAUAAAAAUGAAUAUAAUGUUAAGAAAACCAAACAAAAACAAAACUCCCUAGCCUUUAACUUGAAUUUAUAGCAGUUUAAUGGCACACUAAGACUCUGUUUCCUCACCAUGUCUGUCUCACCAAGAUCUCGUUUUUUGAACAUCGUGUGUUCUGAUAUACACGCCACUAAUUUCAAUGCCUUAAUCUCUUAAAUUAUGUAGAAAAAGCAUUGAGGUACAAGCCAAUCUACAAUAAUAUCAAGUUUUAGUCUAAUAAUGUUUUGGGCUUCUGAGACAGAAUCUUUCUAUGUAGCCCUGACUGGUCUGCAACUUGCUAUGUAGACAAGGGUGGCUUUGAACUCACAGAGAGCCACCUGCCUUUGCCCCCACCCCCACUCCCAGUGCCGAGAUUAAAAGCAGGAGCCUCCAGACCCAGCCAUGCUGAUUGUAUUUUAAUGUGGUUAGGACUCUUCAGUCUUGCAGGACACAGAAGCUGGGGCUGACGGCAUUGGCACCGAAGAACUGGCUUUUGCAGAAUAUACCCAUGCACAUAUUCUGUUUUGCAGAGUAUACCCAUGCGCAUAUUCUGCUGAGGUCUUUAAUCCUUCCCACAGUUUCCAGUUGCUAUCUGGUGUCCUUUUGCUCCAUUCCACAGGACACUCCUUUACACCAGGACAAGUCUGGUGCUGAGAAAUCCGCUAAUCUAGAAAGAUCCGAAUUUGUCUCUUACUUCUGUGGGGCAGUCUUGCCAAAUACAGAAUGGCGAUAUCAAGAAGGAUCUAUUUGGGGCUCGUUUCCUUGCACACGGCUUGCAGCCUUCAGAGCAAUGGGUUGAAGACUCCCCCAGGCUGCUGACCCCCUGGAUGGCUUUGGAUCCAACUGGGCCGCUGAAAGAUCAAGUCAUGACUAGAGGGCGGGGAUUUUUUCAGCCCCGCCCCCUAACCUCCGAGGACCCUCAGAGUAGGCAAUGGAGCACCACUUGCCUGGGUCCAUAACUCAUGCAUCUUCUUGUCUGUGUCCCUUGUGAAUUCCUCUAUACUAAUGGGCAUGCAUCAAGAAAGCAUCUGAGCCACCCAGCCUAAGCUGCUCUUGUAAGUUAGUUGAAUCUACAAGUAUAUCUUGGGGAACCUCUGAUUCAUAGGUGAUCGUUGAAAAAUAUGGGUGACAAUCUAAUACUGUUAGAGCAUGUCAAACCUGGUUCUAUCUCCCUCCUACCCCCGCCCCCAAGGUUGUACCCCCACCCCACUCCCAUUUCAGGGCCCGUUAAAGCUGAACGGUUAGCAUUAAGUAGAAGGACCCUGUACUCCACUGCCUCAUCUGUAGCUGUCUAUUGGGUAGACACAACCCGUGUGGUUCCAGUGCCAGAUGCCCCGCUGCUGUGAGUUCCUGAACGCCAUGACCACACCAUGCUUUAAAGAUCGAACUCUGCAGCCCUUCUUGCCUUCAUCCAUCUCUUGCAUUCUUGCCCGCCCCCCUCUUUCCGCCAUGUUUUUUCUGAGUCCUAAAGGGUGGUAUCGAUGUCCCGUCAAGGGCUGAGCUGAGCCCUGAGCCAUCCUUCCAGCUCGGCACUGUGUGGCCGUGGUUCUUUGAACUCCCUGCUACUCACUGCAAAGAAAGGUUUCACUGAUUGAUGUAGAGAGAAUCUCUCAAGAGCAUCACCCGUCAAUAAAAAGGCCGCUGGCCAAUGAGCUGAGGCAGGAAGUAGGAGGUGGGACACUGGCAGGAAGAGAGGAUUCUGGGAAAUAGUGAGAAAAUAAAGGGGAUUCCAGUGAGACCCUGGGAGAUGCUGAGAAGACACUAGGAGGAAGCAGGCCAGGACUGAGAGGGAGACUCCAGGGUCCUGCUUCACUCACUGCAGACAUCUGGUAAACCUCGGAGCAGAUGAGUGGAUGAGCUGAUAAGGUCUAAAGAAGAAAAUCGUGAGAAACUUGGGAAAGAAAAAGUAUGGACUCUCUAACUUCCUUUGGCUCAUUACCACGCCACCAUUCAUGCUAGAGUAACAUUUGUCUGGAAAACAAUAAAAACCAAAUGACACUAGGG